GGCAGUCGCGGUAAUUCCAGCUCCAAUAGCGUAUAUUAAAGUUGUUGCAGUUAAAAAGCUCGUAGUUGAAUUUCGGGAUCAAUAUGUUGGUCGUGCCUUGGUACGUACUGGCGUCAUUGGUUUCUACCUUCUGAAGAACCUCGAUGUCAUUAAUUUGGUGUUUUGGGGAAUCAGGACUGUUACUUUGAAAAAAUUAGAGUGUUUAAAGCAAGCUCACGCUUGAAUACAUUAGCAUGGAAUAAUGAAAUAGGACGUUUGAUUCUAUUUUGUUGGUUUCUAGGAUCGACGUAAUGAUUAAUAGGGAUAGUUGGGGGCAUUAGUAUUCAAUUGUCAGAGGUGAAAUUCUUGGAUUUAUUGAAGACUAACUACUGCGAAAGCAUUUGCCAAGGAUGUUUUCAUUAAUCAAGAACGAAAGUUAGGGGAUCGAAGACGAUCAGAUACCGUCGUAGUCUUAACCAUAAACUAUGCCGACUAGGGAUCGGAUGAUGUUAAUUUUUUAAUGACUCAUUCGGCGCCUUAC
rnacentral:misc_RNA from 1 species